CCCUAGCUUCUCGCCACUGUCAUCCCCUCAUCUCUCUCCUUCACCAAACACACAACAGCCCUUCACCUCCUCCUCCUCCUCCUCCUCCUCCUCCCGUUCUCCCCCACCAACAGAGUACAAGGAUCAUCUUAUCCUGGUUUCACUCCUCCAGGACGAUGGCAAUUGAACUAUAUAUAAGCAACGAACCAUCACAAAAAUGACAUCAUUACAUUACACAUGCUUGUUGUUUUACUGAUCACUCCAGAGAACAUCACGCCAGUACCUCUGUCUCCAAAUGACACUGGAACAUGCUUGGUCGUUGGGAACGGGCUUCCAGUUUGCCAAACAAUUUGAGUUGAGAAAGGCAAUCACACGAGUUUUGAGAGAUGAGCUGUUAUUCUUGGAAAGAUGUAUAUAUAUGGGUAAGAUACCAAGAUUUGGAUCUCAAUACGAUGCCAAGUAAUUAUACAACAGAGCUCUCGUGUCGAUUUGCAGGAAGCCAUUCCACAAUAUGCUCUGAAAAGAAGCACGCUGGCUACAGGGCCUGUGGAUCCCUCCACUCAGUUUUAUUUUUUGAUAAUAACCAUCACUCAUUGCUGUCUUUUUCUUAAUUAAAUUACAAGGCAUGCAUCGUUUU